rnacentral:rRNA from 1 species
GACGAACGCUGGCGGCGUGCUUAACACAUGCAAGUCGAACGAAGAGCGAUGGAAGCUUGCUUCUAUCAAUCUUAGUGGCGAACGGGUGAGUAACGCGUAAUCAACCUGCCCUUCAGAGGGGGACAACAGUUGGAAACGACUGCUAAUACCGCAUACGAUCUAAUCUCGGCAUCGAGGAUAGAUGAAAGGUGGCCUCUACAUGUAAGCUAUCACUGAAGGAGGAGAUUGCGUCUGAUUAGCUAGUUGGAGGGGUAACGGCCCACCAAGGCGAUGAUCAGUAGCCGGUCUGAGAGGAUGAACGGCCACAUUGGGACUGAGACACGGCCCAGACUCCUACGGGAGGCAGCAGUGGGGAAUCUUCCGCAAUGGACGAAAGUCUGACGGAGCAACGCCGCGUGAGUGAUGACGGCCUUCGGGUUGUAAAGCUCUGUUAAUCGGGACGAAAGGCCUUCUUGCGAAUAGUGAGAAGGAUUGACGGUACCGGAAUAGAAAGCCACGGCUAACUACGUG